rnacentral:rRNA from 1 species
UACGUAGGGGGCUAGCGUUGUCCGGAAUCAUUGGGCGUAAAGCGCGUGUAGGCGGUUCGGUAAGUCCGCUGUGAAAGUCGGGGGCUCAACCCUCGGAUGCCGGUGGAUACUGUCGAGCUUGAGUACGGAAGAGGCGAGUGGAAUUCCUGGUGUAGAGGUGAAAUUCGUAGAUAUCGGGAGGAACACCGGUGGCGGAGGCGGCGACCUGGGUCGAGACUGACGCUGAGGCGCGAAAGCGUGGGGAGCAAACAGG